CAACAGCUGAGGGCAUUUUCACUUUGGUUUCUGUAACCCAUUGGACUUUAUUUUUAACAGCAACAAUAAAACGGGAAAUUCUGUGAUGAGGAACUGGAUAAGCCGCUCUGUCAUUUAACAGUAUGGUAAACAGUUGGCAGAUGAAAAAAAAAGUGAGUGUGGAGGAGUGACAACAAUAGUUCUUUGAGUCAGCAAAACACCCAGCUCUGGAUCUCCCCGUCACAACCUCCACUGAUUUUCACAGCGACCUUUUGAUGUAUUUCAAUAAACUGCGGGGCUGUCCCACGGGGCGCCACCUUCAUCAGAGCAGCCCACUUGAGCUGUGUGCUUUAUUUAUACUUUACACAGUGACCUUUCACAGAUUACAGAGAUUCCAGGGAAUGAGAAGAAGGAAGUGAAAGGGAGGCGUCUCUGGAGCUCUGAUUCCAGGCUGCAGAAAGUCCGAGCCACAGUAAUCUUUGCCGGGAAGAAACUCAAGAUGUCCUCUUGUGAAUCUUCAGACACAUCAUGAAUAUUCAUCCGGGGCCGUUAGCACAGUGUUCAAGCCGGGAUUCCACACUGCAGCACACUAUGUCACCGAUUUUUAUCUUGCACCAUUUUUCAUUCCCUGACGUUCACGUCGCACACAAAGUGACAACGGUGCAAGCAAUACGUUGGACAUCUGAAUCAGACCACUGAAUUACAGCCAUUAUCAGCAGUAGGUCUGGUGUUAGGCGUGCUGACGGCUGCUUGGGAAACAAUUGACCAACCAGAGAUUAGUCGACCGGUUUUAGACUGAGGGCGUCAUCUGUUUACAAAGUAGGCCGAACAACUGGGGCAGCGUUGGCAUUUACACCACUAGCACAGCAGCGUUGGACUGCAGCGAACCUCUCACUGUGCAGCCCCCUUGUCACAGCGAAGUGUGACAUUACUGUCACCUUCCACCCACUAACACACAAACACACAGACACACAAAGAAAGACAGCAUUAGCGCAUUACAGGAUGUGUUGCCAUGGCAAUGCGACAACCCAUAAUCACACUGAGUGUGUGUCUCUUGGUGAGUCAGGCCGCGUUAAUCCAUAUUCAGGUCCUCUGAGUGCCUAUUUGUCCUGCAUUUGCCAAAGUGUGUGUGUGUGUGGCACUGUGAUUUGUGUGUGUUAACAUUGUCAGAGCAUUUGCUGAGUUUCAUAGAAGAAGUUUUUCGAGUCAGUGUCUGGACACCAGAGACUGUUAGAGAGUGUGUGUGUUAGUGUGUGUGUGUGUGUUUGAGACAGAGAGAGACAAGCUGGGGUAGUCACUUUGUUGAGAGGAGUCCCUAAUGUUUUCUCCAGCGACCACCUGCUCCUCUCUCGCUCUGCCUCAGUCUCGUUGUCUCUGUUUUUUCUCUCUCUGAUGUAUUUUCCAGAAACCAGGUCUCCGCUAAUUUAUCCUGAGGUUCCUCCCUCUCGCUGAGUCUGGUAUAGUCCCAGGUGCAAAGCUUAAAAAAGCAAAACUCGGAAAAUCCUUUUUGUGCAACCGAGAAGCCCCGUUGCACACAGUCACCUUACGUUAACACAACCAGAGUGGGAAACAUGUCUGUAACACUGAAAGCUACUCAUGUCUCAACUGAUGUACACGCUACUACAGCACAUUAAAAUAUUGCUCAAAUGUAA